rnacentral:rRNA from 1 species
GUUGAACGCUGGCGGCAGGCCUAACACAUGCAAGUCGAACGGUAACAGGAAACAGCUUGCUGUUUCGCUGACGAGUGGCGGACGGGUGAGUAAUGUCUGGGAGACUGCCUGAUGGAGGGGGAUAACUACUGGAAACGGUAGCUAAUACCCCCUAACGUCGCAAGACCAAAGAGGGGGACCUUCGGGCCUCUCGCGAUCGGAUGUGCUCGGAGGGGAUUAGCUAGUAGGUGGGGUAACGGCUCACCUAGGCGACGAUCCCUAGCUGGGCUGAGAGGAUGACCAGCCACACUGGAACUGAGACACGGUCCAGACUCCUACGGGAGGCAGCAGUGGGGAAUAUUGCACAAUGGGCGCAAGCCUGAUGCAGCCAUGCCGCGUGUAUGAAGAAGGCCUUCGGGUUGUAAAGUACUUUCAGCGGGGAGGAAGGGAGUAAAGUUAAUACCUUUGCUCAUUGACGUUACCCGCAGAAGAAGCACCGGCUAACUCCGUGCCAGCAGCCGCCGUAA